AUUGAACGCUGGCGGCAUGCCUUACACAUGCAAGUCGAACGGCAGCGCGGGGCAACCUGGCGGCGAGUGGCGAACGGGUGAGUAAUAUAUCGGAACGUACCCUGGAGUGGGGGAUAACGUAGCGAAAGUUACGCUAAUACCGCAUACGAUCUAAGGAUGAAAGUGGGGGAUCGCAAGACCUCAUGCUCCUGGAGCGGCCGAUAUCUGAUUAGCUAGUUGGUAGGGUAAAAGCCUACCAAGGCAUCGAUCAGUAGCUGGUCUGAGAGGACGACCAGCCACACUGGAACUGAGACACGGUCCAGACUCCUACGGGAGGCAGCAGUGGGGAAUUUUGGACAAUGGGCGCAAGCCUGAUCCAGCAAUGCCGCGUGAGUGAAGAAGGCCUUCGGGUUGUAAAGCUCUUUUGUCAGGGAAGAAACGGGCCUUUCUAAUACAGGGGUCUAAUGACGGUACCUGAAGAAUAAGCACCGGCUAACUACGUGCCAGCAGCCGCGGUAAUAC
rnacentral:rRNA from 1 species